CGGGGCGUAGCGCAGUCUGGUAGCGUACAUGCAUGGGGUGCAUGUGGUCGGAGGUUCAAAUCCUCCCGUCCCGACCA
rnacentral:tRNA from 2 species